rnacentral:lncRNA from 1 species
CUGUUUCAAGCCCCGUUUUCUUGCAGCUCUUCGGCACUGCAAACCUAACCGCUAAUGGCGCUGUGGGUGGAGAAACGUUUGUUAGGCUUCUUACAUCAUGGUUGCAGGAUGGCUGCUACAGCUCUGGACAUCACAUCAAAAUAUGGCAGAAGCUAAAGCAGGAAGACAGAGAAGGAGGCAAAACAGCUUUAUUCACUUGUGGCUCUCAUAUGAAGAAUAAAGAUAUUUCUCGAAA